GAUGAACGCUAGCUACCGUCUUAACACAUGCAAGUCGAGGGGCAGCAUGAAAGGAACUUCGGUUCUUUUUGAUGGCGACCGGCGCACGGGUGCGUAACGCGUAUCGAACCUGCCUCAUACUCGGGGAUAGCCUUGCGAAAGUAAGAUUAAUACCCGGCGGUCUCGGAUGGCCGCAUGACUGUCCGAGUGAAGAUUUAUCGGUAUGAGAUGGCGAUGCGUCCCAUUAGCUUGUUGGUGAGGUAACGGCUCACCAAGGCAUCGAUGGGUAGGGGUUCUGAGAGGAAGGUCCCCCACAUUGGAACUGAGACACGGUCCAAACUCCUACGGGAGGCAGCAGUGAGGAAUAUUGGUCAAUGGACGAAAGUCUGAACCAGCCAAGUAGCGUGCAGGAUGACGGCCCUCUGGGUUGUAAACUGCUUUUAGUUGGGAAUAAAAAGAGGGACGUGUCCCUUAUUGUAUGUACCAUCAGAAAAAGGACCGGCUAAUUCCGUGCCAGCAGCCGCGGUAAUACGGAAGGUCCAGGCGUUAUCCGGAUUUAUUGGGUUUAAAGGGAGCGCAGGCGGCGGCGUAAGUCAGUUGUGAAAUCGUGCGGCUUAACCGUGCAAUUGCAGUUGAUACUGGCAGUCUUGAGUACAGUAGAGGUGGGCGGAAUUUGUGGUGUAGCGGUGAAAUGCUUAGAUAUCACGAAGAACUCCGAUUGCGAAGGCAGCUCACUAGACUGCAACUGACACUGAUGCUCGAAAGUGUGGGUAUCAAACAGGAUUAGAUCCCUGGUAGUCAAGGGCGAAUUCGUUU
rnacentral:rRNA from 1 species